rnacentral:misc_RNA from 1 species
GGCAAGAUAGACGUUUUUCUCUUUGAUUUACUGUAAGAAGACAGGCUUGCACUUCUUUAAGCUUCGUGCAACCUAUACAAGGUGUUGCUCGCUUUCUCUCUGUUACCAGCGGGCUUAUGUGGUGGAUAGCAUCCCCAGAUGCUCCUCCUAGCCACACAUAUGCUCCAAACUUGAAAUCGACUUCUUUUUUUCACCAACAUCAGC